UACCUCAUAGUGGCUACUUCUAAUGCUAAACCUGAAACCCACAGAAGACCCAAUCCACAACUGCCUAAUUAGAGCAAGCCUUUCAGGACGCUGGACACUGGUCAGGUUCAGACCUGGGCUUCCCAGAGAGCAGUGCUGAAUUAAGUUAGUCUGGCACUCAGGAAGGCAGAACCCACAAGGCUACGUCCUUCCCGCCUUCACCCAGUGGUAGGAAGCAUACAGCCGAUGGACUUCUUGUCUUCCUAUCUCCCGCUUGUUAUAAACCAGGUGCUCCAUCAGCCUGCCUUCCAGAAACUUAUUGGUGCCAGCAACUUGUGUCAUCACUUGCCACCGACAGCAGCACCUGCUUCUGUCUCUCUGAUAUCAUCCGCCAUGAAGUCCUCACCUGAACUGAGCUGAUGUUGGUGGCGUGCCUUCGAACCCCUAAACUGUCAGCUAAGUAAGCUCUAAGUUAACCUAUCUGCUUCAUAAUGCCCUCAGCCCUGGGUACUUCAGUUACAGCCAUGGGAAAUAAACCGGCAGGAGAUACAGGUACACUGGAAGGGCACACUCCCAUCCCCUGAUCUCCCACAGACCUCUCUGGUUUCCACCCUUCCAACAACAAUAUUGAAGCACAGAGACAGUGAGUGCCAGAAGACUGAAUUAAGACCCUUAGCUUCGGGUUUUUAAUGAGGUUGGCUGUCUAAAAGGCAGAGGUGUGAUGGAUUUAGGAAACGUCGGGACUCACAUGACAAAGAGUUUAUAGCCAUAAUAUAUAAAGGCCUGCCACAUUAAAUAACAAAGCAAUCACAAACUGAUAGAGAAAAUAGUCAGAUUACAUAAACAGGCAAUUCACCAAGAAAGACAUGCAAAUUACCAAUAAAUAUCUAAAACUAUUUCAAUCUCACUCAUAAUAAAAAUAAUUCAAAACAAGGUGUUGUGUAUUUCCCUGACAAAGUAAGAAAAAAAAAUUCACGAGAUUGAUUUUAAGCAGGGUGGGAGGGCUGGCCGGUUUCAUGCCAGCCACCUUAGGUUUAGAGACUAGAUUUGCAGUGUAAGUCAAAGGAGAAGAAUGAGGAGGCCCCACCACUGAGCGGGCUCACCUUUGGGUUUAUAUCCCGAGGCGGUGUCACCAGAACUAUGCAAAGAUGUUCCAGGCCUUUCUAGGCAUCUAUCGGGGACACAGUUCAACUGUAAGGCGUUUGUUCAUGCCCUGCAUCUUGUACAGCUAUUUAAAAGAAUGAGGUGGACCUGUCAGACGGCUGUUAAGAAAAAGAAGCAGGGGGUUGGGGAUUUAGCUCAGUGGUAGAGCGCUUGCCUAGCAACCGCAAGGCCCUGGGUUCGGUCCCAGCUCCGGAAAAAAAAAAAAAGAAAGAAAGAAAGAAAGAAAGAAAAAGAAAAAAAAAAAAGAAAGAAAAAGAAGCAGGCAUCAGAACAGUAAUUCACCAUUCUCCCCUUGCAAAAUAAACCAUGCCAAGAUUAGUGAGUGCGUAUGCUGAGGACCAGCUGACACCGGAGAGGCGGCUCUGCGGGCAAAGCCCUUGAGCUUGAGUGAGGAUGCGAGUUUGGAACUCUCAGGACCUGCUAAAGACAGACACUGUUUGGUAGUGAUCCUUUAAGGGUGGAACAACCUUUUCAUAGGGGUUGCCUACGACCACCAAAAAAACACAGGUGCUGACAUUGCAAUUCGUAGCUAGCAAAAUUACAGUUAAGGAGCAACAAACAUGGUUUUGUGGCUGGCGGUAAGCACAACAUGAACUAAAUUAAAGGGUCGCAGCAUUAGGAAGGUUGAGAACCACUAUGGUCAGGCAUGACUCUGCGAUGUCAGGGCUCCUACAAUAAGAUGAGAGACAGAGGCGGGAGAAUUCCCAGAAGUUAGCAGGCCAGCUAAGCCUGGAACACCCAAGGGGGAUGUCUUAGUCAGGGUCUGACUGCUGUGAACAGACACCAUGACCAAAGCAAGUCUUAUAAAGGACAACAUUUCAUUGGGGCUGGCUUACAGGUUCAGAGGUUCAGUCCAUCGUCAUCAAGGCAGGAGCAUGGCAGCAUCCAGGCAGGCAUGGUGCAGGAGAAGCUGAGUUCUACAUCUUCAUCUGAAGGCUGCUGGUGGAAGACUGACUUCCAGGCAGCUAGGAUGGGGGUCUUAAAAACACAGUGACACACCUACUCCAACAAGGCCACACCUUCUAAUACAUACCAUGACAGGGAACGAGAGACCCUAUGUCAAACAAGGAUGGACCACUGAGGUUGUGCAUACCCCACACUCUCACAAACAGGUACAUACUUGCACACACACACACACACACACACACACACACACACACACACACACACUGAUAGAAAAGAAAAGGAGAAAUGCCUUUUAGGGGAGGAAAUCAGAAGGGAGAGAAGUUGGGGGUGGUGAGCAGGAGUGGGUACCAGUAGUCAAGGAAGAGAAGUAGAGUUUGUAACGUUCCAGGCCCCUACGUUUCCAUCUCUAUACUGAGCUUGUGUUAUCCAUGCCACCUGCUGAAAAGAGUAAAACCUAAGAAUGGGGGUGGGGGUGGGGCAUGGAUUUCAAUAGGAUUUCAGCCAUUCUCACAUCUAAGCUCACUUCUCUCGUUCUUCGAGGAAUAGCUCCAGGCCUAUGUCACAAGCAGGUCUCAGGGGCUUCGGGAGACUUCCCAGGAUGUGCAUCUUUUAACUUAGGGGCAAAGGGUGUCUAUCAGCUGCAUACCAAGUAUCCCGAGUCUCAGUGACCGAAAACAGCAACCGGUGAUGGCGCCUGAUGAGUCCCCAGGUCUUGAUGGCUCUCGUCUGGGUUUACUGAUGUGUCUGUGAGUAGCUGACCAGUUGUCCAGUAGGUCCCCAAUGACAUUAGCCAUGACAAUGUGGCUUUCCUUCGAGUGUCUCUCAUUGCUCCUCCAGGCUGACUCAGGCUCAUCCUCAGGGCAGAAGCACACACAUAAGGAGGAAGAAGUGUGUGCACAGCAGAAAGCAGCCAGCACCUUUUCCAACUCUUCCUGCAUUCCAGUUGCUAAUGUUCCCUUGAACACUGCAAGUCUCACGACCAAACUGAGACUCUGGGGGAAUGUGGGAAGGCAUUCCCAAGGACUUGCAUACGGGCAGGCCAGAUUAUACCAUAGACACCAGCUCAGAGCUGUUGACAGACAGGGAUUACUGGAAGCUGGUUAUAGGGGAACCCAUCACUGGUCAAUGAGCCUCCUCAUCGGUGCGUUCAACUUGGGGAUGAAGAAGUCUUUGUUGGACUGGGACCGAAAUGGAGACCACAAAACCUAACAGGAAGAGCGUCAUCUCAGCAGUGAGUAGUUGGAGAUUAGCUUUCAGGAGUUUAUCCCCAAAGGAUUGAGUACUGUUUGUCAUAGGUACCCAUUAAACAGCCCUGGUCUGGUCUCUCUUCCUCCUUUCCUCCCACCAUUUAUAAUCACCCACUCCAUGCAACCACACAUGCCCUUGCCUGGAGAAUAGAUAAAGUUAGGAACUCUUGUUUUUCUCAAGAUAGGGUCUCAUGUAGCCUAGGCUAUCCUCAAACUGUUUGUGUUGCAGAGAAUGACCUUGAAUUCCAGAUCCUACUGUUUCCACUUCCCAAGUUGUGUGAGCCACCAUGCUCAACUCUAAGGCAAGAACUGACCGUAAAGAAACUUCCGUUUUUCGUUGAUCCAGGUGGCUUCAAGCCCACUCCCACUCUGCCACCGAGGGCUGAAGUUGCCUGCAUCUCAUCUCCUUCAUUCCCAUCUCUGUCAAUCCCCUGGCUCAGCUCCGACUAGAAUUCUCCCGGCUCUCCCCAGCAUAUGCUCAGUGACAGUUCCCUUGUUUUGUCUGUGGGGACUGGGCUACAGUGACAGAUUUUUGCCACUUCCCAAGUUCAGGAAAUAUUGCUGCUCACUUCACAUUUAUCCUGCUUCUCAUCACCCAGGGAGCCGAGGCCGAGGCAGGCUCUUGGUUAUCCAUUAUCAGUCUGUGCUGGAGAAGGAGGACAGGCUCACCCGGGAGUGCCGGGAGGUGGGCAGGGGCUGGGGAGACAGGGCGCUCAUUCAAUAAGCCACUAAUAUUUAUUGUGAGUCAGUUGUGGGCCUGGAGCUGCAGAGAAACUGGACCACAGGGACAAGUGCACACACUUCUUGUGCCAGUCUUUAAACAAGAGUCAGAGAGGUGGGGUGUGAGCAUUUAGAAGCUGGAGCCUCAUUCAGUACAAGUGGAAGGAAAAGUUUGCACAAGCUUGCCCAGAGGGCAAGCUGAAGUCAAGUAUAAAAGGGUCCAUAAAACAGGUGCGGGGUUGGGGAUUUAGCUCAGUGGUAGAGUGCUUGCCUAGCAAACGCAAGGCCCUGGGUUCGAUCCCCAGCUCCAAAAAAUAGAAAAAAGAAAAAAAAAAAAACAAACAAACCUUCCUUGCAGUCCCAGGUCGUGAGGUCAGCCUGGUCUACGUGGCAAGUUCUAAGCUAGCCAGCUAGCACUGGCUACAUAGUAGGACCCUGUCUCAAGUGUAUAUGUAUAUGUACAUGUGUAUGUGUAUAUGUGUGUAUGUGUGUAUGUGUGUAUAUGUGUAUAUGUGUAUAUGCGUAUAUGUGUAUAUGUAUAUAUGUGUAUAUGUAUAUAUGUGGAUAUGUGGAUUUGUGUAAAUGUUUGUAUGUGUAUAUGUGUCUAUGUAUGUGUGUAUAUGUGUAUAUGUAUAUAUGUGUAUAUGCGUAUAUAUAGGUGUACGUGUAUAUGUAUAUAUGUGUAUAUGUGUAUAUGCAUACAUGCGUAUACGCAUAUAUGUAUUUUUAUAUAUGUGUAUAUGUAUAUAUGUAUAUUAUAUAUGGUAGACAGAUAUAAAGAAUAAAGAUAGAAAUAGAUGAUAUAUGAAGAUAAAUAGGUAUAAAAUAGAUGGUAGGAAAAGAAAUUAUUGCUAGGCAGACAUACAGACAGACACUCCAUGAAACCAAUGGGGUGGCACAUGCCUAUAGUCCUAGCUUGGGAAGCUGAGGUAGGAAGGAGGCUAGAGAAUUUAAGGUCAGCCUGGGCUGCAUCACCAAUGAUAUUCUCUGGCCUUAUUUUUAAUGACCAUAAGCCCAUCCUUGGUUCCACCAGCACCAUUCAUUAAAACAUUCCUGAUGCAAUCAAUGGACAUUCUCACUCUGUGUGUCCAAGGGUCAUGGGAGCAUCACUUACAGAGACAUCUGCAAAGCAGCCUCACAGACCAGAAGUUUCUGAGCCACCUGUGACUCACGCACAGUAUGCUGGCCAUGCGGUACUUGGAUACAUGAGCGAGAAAAGGGUGUCCUGGCACACAGAAUAGCCCCCGAACCCACACGGAAUGGCAACACCCAGGAUGCCAAUGUAUAGAUACCACUGAGCAUGGAUGAAAUAAGACACUGUUUUAAGGCUGGGGGGGGGGAGUGCAGCUCAGAAUCAGAGCAAAGAUAGAGGAAUCUCAAGUUCAAGGCCAGGCUUAAUAGUGGGUUUAAAGCCAGCCUGAAUUAUAGGAAAUCUAGUUUGGGGGGAGGGGCAGAGGAAGAAAGAGGAGAGAGAGAGAGAGAGAGAGAGAGAGAGAGAGAGAGAGAGAGAGAGAGAGAGAGAGCAAAAUAAACGGUACUGCUGUUUCCCUAAAGGUCUAGGGAGAUUAGGCUAUAAAAGUGCUUCAGAGACUGAGAGGCAGAAUCCUCUGCAGACCAAGAAGUCACACUUAUACCAAUAAGGAACCAACAGUGUUUACUUUGAGAAUCCGGGAGCCCAUCAUUUCUUUGGAAGACAUCAAAUCACCUCAGUAUCCCCACCUGCAUUGGGAUCCCCAGUAUGUGGAAGGGUCUCCCUCCCUGACUACUGUUAGACGGGCUACCAGCGCCUCAUGCCUUCAUGUGAGAAGCUAUUUUCCUUCUCUGCUCAUGGCUGCAGAGAUAAAAGAGAAAAUCCCUCAGAAUUGUCUGCCUGCCAGGAAUCCUAAAUGUGUGGACAGGAGAGCCUAAACAGCUUAGGGCUUAAGAAUGAUCUCCCACUAAGGGACAUUCUCUCUUGGUACCUGCGGACUCAGAGCUGAAGGUCAAGUGUGAGAUGGCUAUGAGAACCCCAGCCAGGUCUACAGUGAAGUCUGAGGUCUGCAUCCUAAGCUCAGUGGGCCUGGAAGGUCCAGGGGGAUUCCUACAAGCAGGGACAGGAGGCAACACAACAAGGUCAGAAGCUUAGAGAACAGUGUGACUUACGGGGGUGGGUGUCUUUGGUUUGUUAUUUAUGUGUGCACACGCAUGUGCUUAUGUGAGUGAAUUCAGGUGUGGUACACAGAGGGCCGCUUUGAGUGUUAGUCCUCACCAUCUCCCUUGUUUAAGACAGGGUCUGUGGUUCACCAUUACGUACGCCAGGCCUGUUGGCCUUCAAGCUUUCAGAGAUUCCCCCAGCUCUGCCUCCCAUCUCUCUGUAGGAGUGCUGGAAUUACAGAUGCAGCCUCCCAUAUCUGGCUUUACAUGGCCUCUCAGAAUCUGAGCUUGCAUGGCAAGCACUUUACCUAGCCCUUAACCAAAGUUUUAGGGCAAAACUCUGGACCUCUGCAUCCCCCUAAAGCUAUUCACAGACAUCUACGCCCCCAAUAUCCAAUCAAGAACAAUGAUAAAAAAAAUAGGGAUUUCUUUAAUGCAGUCACAACAGGAGGAAGAAGAAAUCUAGUGCCCCAAGUUCAUGUUUGGGAAACUGACAUGAGCGCAAGGAUUUUUAAAAAAAUAAUUGAUUUGUGUGUGUAUGUGUGUGUGUGUGUGUGUGUAUGCAUGUGUGAAUGUAUGUGCAUAUGUAUGUGUGUGUGAGUGUGUGAUUGUGUGUUGUAAGAGUGUGUGUUUAUUCCCAUGUGUGUGAGUGGGUAGCAGUAAGUCUGUGAGUGUGUGAGAGUAUGUGUGUGUGAGAAUGUGUGUGUGAAUGUGUGGAAAUGUGUGUGUAAGAAUGUGUGUUUAUUCGAAUGUGUGUGUAACAGCGAGUCUGUGUGUAUGUGAGAACAUGUGUGUAAGCACUGUCAUGGUCACACAUACACACACACAUACACACACACAUACACACACACACACGCACGCACGCACGCACACCCCAUUGCCAGUGGUGAGGGCAAAAGGAAGGGAUCUCUCCUUCUCCAAGGCAGCCACAUAACAGACAAGAGACAGGGCCGGCUCUAACACUCAUGCCCUCAGAAUUGGGUCACCAGUAGCCUCCACAUCCUGGGCCAGCUCUACUGUGCUGCCCAGGAGAGAUGCAGGGCCUGCUCUCCCGAGUGCUGCAGCCUGUGCUCACUUGUGUGAUUUUGUCCUCUGCAUCCACAGUUGGUGUCUGGGGGAUUGAACUCAGGCUCUAAGGUUUGGCAGCAAGUUCUCUUAUCCACUGAGCCAUCUCGCUGGCCUCGGUUUCAGUCAGGAGGCAAGAGGUGUGUAUCAUUAAGUAUUUCUGGUCAGGUGUGGGCUGGUUGGCCAUAGUUUCAGGUCAAGUUCUACAAGGGGGUGGGGGUGGGGCUAAAGAAAUCCAUCACUGUCAUCUCUUGAUGGGGUGGACCUGAUUCUCACAAGAUGGUUGCUUCCGAUUUAGUCUACAGCCUCACUGUCUGGGCAGGCAUCUGUCCUGUGAGAUUGUGUUCUCCCCGGAGUCCAAGGUGACCGUGGAUGUAGGACGAUGACUUACCUCUGCCUGUGCCUCCUGCAAAGUAAAGGACAUAGACAGAUACGUGAGCUCGAGAUUGGAGGAUUUCAUCCUGGUUUCAGACACCUCGUGGGUCCAAGCAAGGAGUCAACACUUCUCAGUAGAAGUCGCUCCUAAGCAUGUGUCUCGGCACCACACAAUGUAACUCGAACUUGAGCGGUGAUCUCUAGUUUCUGCAGAGCCAUGGCUGCUGCCAGAGGCUCCUGGAUGUCUCUGAAGACAGGCGACAGGCAGUGCCCUCAGCUCUGCCCCGAUGGAGUAUCUGGUGGGCACAGUUAGCAUGUGAGCAGUUCAGUGGAGGGAAACCCUGCACAGCCCCACACUCUCCUCCUUCAUUUGCAUGUGUAAAUGCGUGUCUGUGUGUGUAUGUAUAUAUAUUGCUUAUUAGUGUCAGUAGAAUUUGCAUUUUAAGUGGAUUGGUUUUGUUGGGCGUGUUCUUUACGGCCCUGGACUUGAAAGGAAUUAUCCAACGUCAACGUUUGCAGCUACUUGAACAAUAAACAACAAAGCUCUCCUGAAGGGGACAGAGAGAAAAGAGGUGGGUGGAGGUGAUGUGGAGGAAGGAAGAAAAGGGACUCUGAAGUGAGUGCCCAGAUGGCAGUGACCCUCAGUGACCCCAGUAGGAAUAGCUCCUCCACACCUUGGCAGCAAGGGGGCAGCAUGGAGCAGCAUAGCCCCUCACUCACCUUCAGGGACUGACGCUGGAUGGUGGGACUGAGUGUUGUCACAACGGGGAGAAAGAAGUUCACUGUAGAAGCUGUCAGAGGUCAUUAGCAUGCCCACAGACAGAGGAUCAGCCUGUCUCUGUCACCAACGUGGCAUUUGCUAAUUCCUCUCUGCUUUCCAUCUAGACAUAGAACCAGGAACAUCAUUGUUACAUCUGGGCCUAUGCCUUUAAGACACUCGUCAUUCUGUAAAGCCAAAUCUCAUAGACAGAGAAAUCAAUUACCAUCACCCUAACCCUGAUCCUGCCUGGGCUUCUCCCUCUUGCUCUCUUUUCCCCUCCCCUUUUCUCUUCUCCUCUCCUCUUCCUCCUCCUCCUCUUUCUCCUCUUCCUCCUCCUCUUCCUCCUCCUUCUCUUUCUCCGCUUCCUCCUCCUCUUCUUCCUCCUUCUCCUCCUCUUCUCCCUCUUCUUCUUCCUCCUCUUCUUCCUCCUUUUCCGCUUCCUUUCUCUUUGAAACUAAGAAACCAUAUUGUGCUAUGAUAGUCCAAUAGCCUUUCGUUUAGAUUCUAUCUCCUCCACUCUCCUGUAUAGGCUAUCUCAGACUAAAUCAUGUUCUGAGGAACUUGUCAUCAGCCCUAAAAGAGUACAAAAGCUAGAUAACUUCCAUUGUUUGGGAGAUUUUUCUGAAGAUGCUCUCCCCACUCACGCUGCCCCUCCCUCCCGUGGCAACUCUCUCUCUUUCACUUUAAACUAUCAAUGUUAAUGGACCUGCCCACCCCUGCCGCCACCAGAUAAUUUUUUGAAGACUUAUUUUAUUUGUAUUUAUGCGUUUGAAUGUGUCUGAACGUGUGUGGGCAUGUGUGCUGGUGCCUGCGGAGGUCAGAAGAGGGCAUCACAUCCCCUGUAGCUAGAGUUACAGGCAAUUAGGAGCCACUGUUAGGAACUGAACCCCCAUCCUCUGGGAGGGCAGUAAACACUUAACCACCAGAAUUUCUCUCUCCAGGUUUUAAAGGGAAAUUUCUCUUUUCCUUUAAGGCUCUAUCAUGCUGCCUAUGAUGUUAUGUAUUGUCUAUCUGUCCCCUUUUAUUUGACUCCUACCUCAAGGCCUGGUCAGAACUCCUGGGGUAGCAAAGUCAUUAUCUGAAGGAUAAUUUCACAACAGCUCCUUUCCCAAACCAAUCACACCUAACUAACGGUCAAGUUCUCACAACUCAUUCACACAAAUGUGAAGCUCUAUCUAGACAGGAGACGCAGAGAUAGCUCAGAAAGCCACACCCGAUUCCCCCAAGACCUAAAUGGCCACAUACGCCAUUCCUAUUUGUAAUCCCAACAACUCAAGCCUCACUCCACAUUCUGUGCCCAGACCCACUGUCUGGUUUCAGUCUACCUCAACUUCCCCUGGAAACUUCCAUUUCUCUUCCUCCUCUACACGUGUUGAAUGGUUAAAUUCUGCUCUGGAUCACCCUCUCUUCAUUCAUCCAGCCCAUGGAGGAUGCCCAGCCAUCAUUAGGCCUCCUGUGAGUCAUACUCUUCAUCCCAGGAAGCAAGCAGUAGGCCCCACACCCCUGUUUGGUUUUGGUUUUUCUCUUAGUGUUGACAGUAGACUCCAGGCCUCAUACACACUAAGCAAGCGCCCACCACCAGGCUCCAUCUCCAGCCCUAGAUCUCAGCUUGCAGGUUCUUUCAAAACUGUGUGCUAGGCGGAGCAUUGGCUUACUCCAAUCCUACCCAUGCAGCACCCUGGGGCACCGUCCAUUGACUUGAUGACCGCACAUCCAGCUUCCUAAACAUCCUGAACAUCUAUCACCCUUGUCACCACAAAGAAUCUUUACAAUGAUGAUGAGGCCUUGACAGCAAUGCUUGUCUUGGCCCAAUUGAACCCUAAGUACUGGGGGUCCCCAGGAGGUGAGAAAGGGCAGCAGGCAGGGGUAGUUAGCUCUGCCACUGUUUGUAAGCAGAUGGGCAGAAAGGACUCACCCUACAGCUGCUUCCCUCCAACAAGGGGAGAGCAUAGCUAACGUCACUCUGAAAGUGCAGACUGUGCCUAGAAGCUUUCACGUGAAGAGCAUAGUGUGGAAAAGGAGCAAAAUAAAACUGAUUCUCAGCUGGGUAUGCUGGUGCAGGCCUACAACCCUAAGACCUUGGGAUGCUGAAGCCGGAAAAGGAGCAAGUUCAAAGCUGGCCUGGGGUUGCAAUGAGGCCAAGGCCAGCCUGGAACACUUAGAAAGACCGUGUCUCAGAAUAAAACCGGUUUGAAAAAGAGAAGGUGAGGGAUAUAGCUAGGGAGUAAAGUACUUGUCUAGCAAGCAUGAGGGCCUGGGUUAAUCUCUAGUGUCCAGACAGAAGAGCACACACACACACACACACACACACACACACUCAUAUACUAUCAAUUACCAUCACCCCAACCCUGCCCCUGCCUGGGCUUCUCCCUCUUGCUCUCUUUCCCUCUUCCCUUUUCUCUUCCCCUCUCCUCUUCCUCCUCCUCCUUCUCUUUCUUCUCUUCCUCCUCAUACAUAUAUAUAUAUAUAUAUAUAUAUGUAUAUAUAUAUACACACACAUAUAUAUGUAUAUAUAUGUAUAUAUGGUAUUCCUAAGGAACAACACCAAAGACUACACUUUAGUUUCUGCACACAUGCAUGCACACACAUAAACAUAUACUCACAAGACAAACAGACAUGGACCAGUAGUCAUGGACCAGUAGCACCCAGAAGCACCUAUCAUGUAUUGUAAUGUGACGGGAUGUGGCCGAGGGAGACACUUUACUGCUGGUCUCUCCUGAACAUAUCACCCUAGAAGGAAAUACUUGGACAAACCCCAACUGAGGAACAUUACAGACACACACACAAAAUGCUCAAAAUUGUCAAGGUCAAUCAGACAAAAGCCUUUCCGGUCACUGGGAGGGCUUACGGAGACUCAGCUACUGUGUGUGAUGUGUCCUGGAGGAGACUCUGAAUCCAAGGGGACCUCAGGAAAGGACUAAAGAAGGAGGAACAAAAUGUGGACUUUGGUUAAUAACAACAUAUUAAUAUUGGCUCGUUAAUUAUGACAAACGCACCAUCUUUAAUGAAGACAUCACUUGGAGUGGAAGUAGCAUGAAGACUAAGGGAAUUCUCUGUUAUUGCAACACCGUUCUGUGAAACGAAAGUUAUUCUUAAAAGUAUUUUUUCGUGAAAAAUCUUUAUCUUGGCGAAUGAUCAACAUCAGUUGCUAUAUUCAUACCUCUUGUCAACCAGCAAAGUGGCUGUUUUGUCUGAGCUUCCGUGAACACCAUUACUCAUCCAUGCUGGCACCAUCGGAUUGUCAGACUCUAAACAGCGUUCUUAAGAAGUCUGGCAGCCUCCUCAUCCGACCCGUUAGAAACCCGUCCUGGCCAAUAGAGGCCAUUUACAAAAGAAAAUUACUAGACGAUCCCACCAAGGGUUUCCCCACCUCUACGUGUCCCACAGUGAGUGAAAAUAGCUUCCACGAUCAUCUUAUGAUUAAUAAUGUGACCCUAUGCAGCCUACCUGUCCCCACUAGGCCUUAGUAUCCCCAUCUACCAAGCAAGCUCAGAAAUGGGGUCAUCCUCAGUGGGGGGCAGUACACGUAUUAAGCACAGAAUACAUUUUUACCUCGCGUUCAAAGCUAAUUGCAUAUUCCAGGGCCAGUGGCAAGGCCGGGCUAUUUGUCUUGUUUGUAUUGAGCUCCCACAGUAUCCUGAGGGACCCCAGGUGUAUCUGGUACGCAGUAGGUGAUCAAUAUGUUAACGGUUCUUCAGUCACAAUUCCUGCUAGGCAAGCACCCUUCCACAGGGCUACAUCGCCAGCCUCAAAGCCUCAGCCUGCUUCCUCUUUCCAAACCGUACCGUAUGCCCCAGGGAAGCCUAUAGCCCCUCCAGCUUCCUUUAUGAGACAGGGUCUCCCUCUGGCCUGGAGCUCACUGGUAAGGUUAAGCCAGAUGGUUGGAGGCACAGGCGUGGUUAGUGAUCUCCAGAAAUACGAGUGCCACUUCCUCCCUGCUACUGGGGUUCUAAGCACACACCCACCACUGCACUCAGCUUUUCACACAAGUUCUGGGCGUUGAACUUGGGGUUGGUUCCUGGCAUUUUAAAGGCAAGCAUGUAGCGCCCUAGCCAUCUCUACAACCAUGUUUGUUUGACUGUUGGUGUUUUGUUUCUUCUGACACUGGAGACUGAACCUACGGGUUCUGCCGGGGAGCCCAGUCAUGAUUCAUCCAUUCUUGGUAUCAUUCCCACCGGCUUCAGAUUUUUCGCAGUGACCUGCAACGCACUACCUCCCUCCACAGCACAUCAACGUCCAGCUUCAACUGCAAACAUUGAUGCGUGGGAUGGAAAACCCCUGCGCCCACAAACACUGCUGUCUGACUCCAUCCCAGAGCAGAGCCCACCUACCCAGCUGCUGUCCCAAGUGUAAGACCCUGUGCUCAGGGGCCAGUGACAGACAUGAGCAACAUGUCUCUUGACACACAAGACUCAUCCCAGCAACCUGGGGACUGAACAUUGUGGCCACAUUACUUUAUAUUUUUUACAUUUAUUUAUUUGUUGGGGGCACAGGGGAGCAGGCCAAGGCAUGUGUGGAUCCCUGCCUGCCCUCCCCCGCCCCCUGUGGAUCCUGAGGAUCAAAUCAGGUCCUGAGGCUUGGUGGUGAGCGCUGUCAUCUUUGAACAACUGAAGUAUUAGAAGUAAGUGCCUCUUUGAAAUCACAGGCUGUAGGAGAGAAAGGUAUCCAGAGUGCCCUGGGCCCAGACAAACUAAAGCAGAAAGCGCCAAGGGUGAGUCUUACCUUGAGUGCUUACACUGGAACCUGGAGAUGAGGGUCCCUGUGUUGAUGGAUGAUUCAGGAAAGGGAAACAGGAGAAAGGCAAUUUAAUAGAAUCCUUCCAUCACCCUGAGCCACAGAGAGCCUUCAUCUCACAAGGACAAGCAGGUAGGGCCUGGCCUGCCUUGUUCGCUCCUGGGAUGGGGGUCGAGGAGGAGAUUUACUUGAGACUAGCCACAAGCUAAUCUUAACGGGAGGUUGCAGUCACGAGUCGAACUGCCUGGAGGCCAGAAGACCUCAAGAAGAAAAUGAAAUUAAAGUUAUCCCAGCUUGGGAGAGCAUGGCAGAAACCAAUACAAGCCCCCUUUGGGAACCUCGACUUCCUCCAUGCUUCAUGGGAUGCUUAUAAAAUUCUAAGCAAUUUUGUGGACCGCAGGCAGGGAUCUCAGAAAUGAUCCUGUCAGGACUCAGGGGACGGGGAGGGGGGCUUCCGGAUCAAGCACAUGUCUAAUUAAAAUUCCAGGGGAUGGUAGAAAGGAAGAAAAGGAGACAGUAUCGAAGCUGAGACCUUUCAAGAAUGUUUCCUGAAUCUCCCGUUUUUUAUAUCCAUGAGGCAUCUCUGUUUAGAAUCUGAUGCUGUUCUAGGAGGGAGGGUUGGUACCUGGAAAGCGAUGCUUGACACACUAUCUCUGGUUUGUAAAGAGUUGUUUCUCCACCGAAGCUGCUCUUGCUCUAAGAAAAGUUUGGAUAAUAGAAUGAAUCCUGUGUGUGUGAAUAUGUACAUGUGCAUGUCUAUGUAUACAUGCAUGUGGGGAUGUGCCCGUGUGUAUGUGUGUACACAUGUAUGUAUGGAUACAAACGUUUGUGUAUGUGUGCACAUGUGUGUGUAAACACACACAUGUGUAUGUGUAAGCCAGAGAGGUUCAUGCUAGCUAUCUACCUUUCUUGAUCUCCACCUUCCUGUUUUUGAGAUCAACUCUCAUUGGCCCAGGAGUUCGAAGAUUCAGCUAAGCUGACUGGCCCUCAAACCUCAGGGAUUCCCCUGUCUCUGCUUUCCCAGCCCUGAGAUUGGAGCCCGUGUACUCUCUCACAGCCUCUUACUUGAGUGUUGGGAAUCAACUCGGGGCUUCACACUUGAGUGGCAAGGACUUCAGCAACUAAGCCAUCUCCCCAGUCCUUCAGCUCUUCUUGAAAUGAGUCACAGGGCAACUAAGGAACCCGAACUCCAAAGAGAAGCCACGCAAACCACCUGUUUGGCUGUAGCCUGAGUCGGAUGAAGAAGAAGCAAACGCAUUUCAAAGGACCCCGAAGGCCAUGUGCAGGGUGACACACUUUAGCCUGAAGUAGCUGUGAGUGUCUGAUAAACUGGACUUCCUGCUGUCUAAUAGCUGUUUUCCUAGCAGCCACUACAAGAUGCUCCAGAGAAAGACCGUGGGCCAAGCAUGAGACAUGAAGGAAAUACCAUCAGCAGUGUGGCUCUGAUUAGCUGCCAGGGUGACACGGGUAAACAUGCAGCUAUUUCCCAUGAUCCUUCUCUUUCCUCCAAUCAAAAGCCAUGAGAAGAGUGACUUGGCUAUCACCUGAAAGGAAGUGAGAAGCCACUGUUUGGGUGGGCAGGGCAAUGCAGACCUCUGCCCACUGUUUUCCAUUCUUCCCAUUAUAGAGAAACUGAGGCAGAAGAGCCAACCCCCUCACCCACAGGCAGAGACUCAGUGCUGAGGGGAGAGGAUAAGACAAGUACAGCAGGAAUUAGGGAGGCACUGAUGGUGUUGAGUCCAUAACAGGUCAGCUGCAGGAAAAAGACUGGGCUGGGAGUGUGGGGGCACAUAGCAGGUAAAGUGCUUGCUAUGUGUCUUAGGGUUUUACUGCUGUGAACAGACACCAUGACCAAGGCAACUCUUAUAAGGACAACAUUUAAUUGGGGCUGGCUUACAGGAUCAGAGGUUCAGUCCACUAUCAUCAAGGCAGGAACAUGGCAGCAUCCAGGCAGGCAUGGUGCAGGAGGAGCUGAGAGUUCUACAUCUUCAUCUGAAGGCUGCUAGUGGGAGACUGACUUCCAGGAAGCUAGGACUAGGGUGUAAAAGCCCACACCCACAGUGACACGUCUACUCCAACAAGGCCACACCUUCUUAUAGUGUCACUCCUUGGGCCAAGCACACACAAACCAUCACACUACGCAAACAUGAAGACCUGAGUUGAGUUCUCCAAAACCCACAGUAGAAGCUGGACAUGAAUGAUACUGCGUACCUAUAACCCAGAGUGUAGUAGGUGGAGAUUGUCAGAUCCCUGGAGCUUCCUUGCAAACUGAUUGAGACAACCAAGUGCUAAGCCCACUAGGAGACUUUCUCUCAUAAAAGGAGAGUUGGAGAAGUGUUCGAGAAAGAAAGACACCCUAACCUCAAUUUCUGGUUUCAUAUAUGCUUGAAUGGGCAAGAGUGGAUUGUAUCAACAGUCAUGCACAUGUGCAUGUACACAUACACAUACACACACACGCACACACACUCACACACACACACACACACACACACACACACACAGAGCAUACAAAGGGCACAGUGCUGAAAAAGCUAAAGCAAAGUAUUCCUAACAUCAGUGUUGGGCAAGGCAACAGGGAACCAUCCCACCCCCUCUCUUGACCUUCAGGGUCAACCAGUAAGUAGCAGCCAGCUGUCCAAGGAGCCCAGGUUGAAUCCCUGCAUCCAAAGACCUAUUCAAAUAGAGGUAGAGCUCCAACCAAUAGAAAGACCCUGGAGCAUCCCAUCGCCCAUUCUAACCGGCAGAACAGUAGCCUAAUACUAGGAAACCCGGAAACCUGUGGUCCAGGAGAAGUAACCAUGGCAACAAGAGUACCCAAGUGCAUCUCAUGGGCUACAUUAAUGAUGUGAAAUAAGAUGCCUGUUUCUAGGCAUAAAGAUGAUUGACCUCAUGCUAGCCUGUUCUAAACACAAUGUCUUCGUUGACUCAAAAAUUACUCAACUCAUGAAAGGAAAAAGAAAAGGGAAUUAUUGGAAGGAGGUAAAAAGAAAGAAAGAAAGAAAGAAAGAAAGAAAGAAAGAAAGAAAGAAAGAAAGAAAGAGCCAAGAGAAGAAGACUCACAUAACAUACAGCUAGAACUUUAUAUUUUCUGAAUUUGGCUUUUAAAAAUAUUUUAAAUUUAUUCUUCGAAAUUUUUAUACAUUUCUCCAGUGCUACCUCCCUCCAACUCCUUGCAGUUUAACUAAUAAAAAUGUGUGUAUUUACCAUGUAUGAGAUGAGAUGAGAUGAGCUCUCACAUUGCCCAAGCUGGCCUUGGACUUCCUAUCUACCUAAGGUUGGACUUGAACUCAAGACUCUUUGUCUCCACCUUCCAAAUUCUGGGAUUAUAGGCACCACCACCAAACAAAGUUGUGAACUAUAUUUAUGCUAUGGAAUGGACUCAGUUAAUGAACAUAAUCACAUGGCUGGAGAGAUGGCUCAGAGGUUAAGAGCACUGACUGCUCUUCCAGAGGUCCCGAGUUCAAUUCCCAGCAACCACAUGGUGGCUCACAACCAUCUGUAAUGGGAUCCGAUGCCCUCUUCUGGUGUGUCUGAAGACAGCGAGAGUGUGCUCAUAUAUAAUGAAUAAAUAAUUCUUUUUUUUAAUAAUUCUUUUUUAAAAAGAACUUUUAUAAAAAUCAGCAGAGAUAAAUAUUUUUCUCUUGACAUCAUUAAUGGGCUCAAAACAGCGAAGUAUGACCGAACAGGAGUUACACAAGCCGCAAUACAAAAGGAAAAAGAAAAAGUGUGUGUGUGUGUGUGUGUGUGUGUGUGUGUGUGUGUGUGUGUGUGUGUGUGAAGAGUAGAACCAGACUGGGAUUUAUAUGAAAGCCAUAUCAAACAGUGUCUCGUAGACGUAACUGAAGUCUCAGUGCAAAUAAUUUUCAAAACUCGAAGAGAAAUAAAGACAUUCUCGGGCAAACAAUACCGGGGAAAUUUAAUUACCAAUUCCCUGAGAAUGCAAAGCUGUAAAGGAGCUCUUGAGGCAGAGAGAAUAUGACACCAGACAGCGGAGACGCAAGCACACACAGUAAACAGACGCUCUCCAAAUAGCAAAAAGAAAAAAAAAAAAAAAAAAAGAAAAAAAAGGCAAAUAUUUAAAACGUUAUUUUCUCAGUUUAGUCACUUUGGAAAAUAAUUGCCUGCUUAUGGACAAAAAUACAAACAGUAUUCGGGGGUUUACAACAUAUGCAGAAGCAUGUCACCGUCGGCACAGACCAUAGGAGGGGGAAAUUGACAAGAUAACGCACGGCUCUCGUGCUAGGCAUCUAUUAGCAGGCUAUUAUUUAAAGACAGGCUGUCAAGGAUUGAAGAUGCAUGUGGAGACGCGGGGCAGCCAAUAAGAAGCUUCUGCAAAAUAGUAACCAGGAAGCUAAUAAUGGGGACAAAGUGAAAUACGUGAGCGAGCGAACAAAUAAAUAAAAUUAAUCGUGCGUUGUGCUGCGAGAGGAAGGUGGGAACGAAUAGAAAAUAUUUGACAAUUUGGGAGAUCUAAAUCAAGCCACGUCAAUCCUAGCUCUAAACAUAUAUGGAAAGGCCUCAGACGACAGGCAGAGAUUCUCAGAAUUGAGUUUAAAGUCAGGACCUAGCUCUACGCUGUCUUUAAGGCACGUGCUUUCGUCCUGUCCGUCAGCCUGGGAGGGGGUGCACACAUAGGGGGUGAGUGCAUGGUCUUGGAGAUCGAAGGGCAACUUUGGGGCAUCCGUUCUCUCCUGCACCUGGUGGACGCAGGAGUUCUUGUUAUUUCGUGUUGCAGACUCUGGGCCAGGAGCCCACAGGGCUUCUAACUGAUGUUCCUAUCUCCACUGUCCAUCUCUCCAUAGGAAUACCGAGAUUACAGAUGUGCACCAUUGCACCCAACUUUGGUCAUAAUGUCUCCUUACAGCCACGGAAACCCUGACUAAGAGGAAGUUGGGAGGAUCUGAGUUCAAAUCUCCCCAGCGCCCCUCUUAAAAGCUAGACUCGGUGUGCUUCAGAUGAAGAAACCCAGAGGACACCCACAGAAGAGACCCCAUGAAGGCAGAAAAUGUCAAAGAACUUCAAGAGGAAAUACGUCUGUUACUUAAGUCACACCUUCUGAAGCACCAUGGACAGAGCAAAUGACUCCUUCUCUCACUUCCUCACUGUCACAGGGUCCCAACAAGGUGGCAAAGAAAGUGUCACAUGGUGACCAAGCAUUGGAAGAUUUGCUGAGCCAUGGACCCAGGGACAGGAAGUCAUGGUUUAACACUGCGUACUAUCUGCCCCAUGAACACAGGUGUAAAAGUCCUUACACAAAUAUCUCCUAUGAAUGGAUCAGUAAAGGACGACCAGCCUCACAAGAGAGUAAGUAAAUUCUGGGGAGAUGGCUCAGUUAGGGAAGUGCUUGCCACACAAGCGUGAGGUCCUGGGUUUGAUCGCCAGCACUGAGGUAAAGCUAGGCACGGUGGCACACAUUUGUAAUCUCAAUGUUUUGCAGAUGGCUCUCGGGGCUUGCUGGCCAGCCUAGCCUUCUGGGUAAAUUCUAUGUUUAGUGAAAUGAUUCUGUCUCAAAAAAAAAAAAAAAAAGUGGGGGCAGGGCUAGAGAGACGGCCAGUGGUUAAGAGUGUGUAUUGCUCUUCGGAAAAAAACAAGUUGAGUUUCCAGUAACCAUGUUAGAAGCUUACAACAGUCUGUAAUUCCAAUUCCAGGCCCUCUUCUGGCCUCUGUGGGCACCUAAACUCAUGUGUUUAUAUAGAUAGAUGCACACACGUGUGCACAUUAACUAACACGGUAAAAUAAAUCAUUAAAAAAACAAAA